rnacentral:rRNA from 1 species
AUACGUAGGGGGCGAGCGUUGUCCGGAAUGAUUGGGCGUAAAGGGCGCGUAGGCGGCCCGGUAAGUCUGGAGUGAAAGUCCUGUUUUUAAGAUGGGAAUUGCUUUGGAUACUGUCGGGCUUGAGUGCAGGAGAGGUAAGUGGAAUUCCCAGUGUAGCGGUGAAAUGCGUAGAGAUUGGGAGGAACACCAGUGGCGAAGGCGACGUACUGGACUGUAACUGACGCUGAGGCGCGAAAGUGUGGGGAGCAAACAGGAUUAGAUACCCUGGUAGUCCACACUGUAAACGAUGAAUGCUAGGUGUAGGGGGUAUCGACCCCUUCUGUGCCGCAGUCAACACAAUAAGCAUUCCGCCUGGGGAGUACGGUCGCAAGAUUAAAACUCAAAUGAAUUGGCGGGG